GUGAAGAACGCAGCGAAAUGCGAUAAGUAGUGUGAAUUGCAGAAUUCAGUGAAUCAUCGAAUCUUUGAACGCACAUUGCGCCCUUUGGUAUUCCUUAGGGCAUGCCUGUUCGAGCGUCAUUUAAACCUUCAAGCUCAGCUUGGUGUUGGGUGACUGUCCGCUUCACCGCGGACUCGCCUCAAAAUUAUUGGCGGCCGGUACAUUGGCUUCGAGCGCAGCAGAAACGCGAACUCGGGCCCGUCGUAUUGGCUCCCAGAAGCUAUCUUCACAAUUUUGACCUCGGAUCAGGUAGGGAUACCCGCUGAACUUAAGCAUAUCAAUAAGCGGAGGA
rnacentral:misc_RNA from 1 species